UCGGGGAUCGUCUAGUGGUAGGACGCCAGGUUCUGGCCCUGGUAACCAUGGUUCGAGUCCAUGUCCCCGAG
rnacentral:tRNA from 1 species